CUCUCUCCUAACGCCUUCUCCCAGCUCCCUCCCGAUGCCCCUAACUCACCUGGGCCCUCCCGGCGGCUGAGCCGAGGACGGUCGGCGGCGCGUUGAGGCUGGCGAUGGAGGGGCGCGACGGCGACAAGCGGGCGGCAGCGGGAGCGGCGGCAGGACUCCUGCGCGAUGAUUGGGCCUCGCGGUGAGCGGAGAAUGAAAAAACAGUCGUAACUUGUACUCAAUCUGCACAAAUUAUCAUCUACCUACAAGGUCACCAGCCCAAAUUCCAGCUUCAUCACCGCCAGCACCUGCUCUUACUGCAGAAAUGAAGAAAAGAUGGUUCUAAGUUACAAAACAUGAAAAGAAAUAUUGGAUAGCUGAUUCAAAUGUACAACUGAGCACUGGACAGGUACCUUGAAGUAAGAUGUUGCGUGAAUCUGGAGGAUCACUCGGAAGCUGUAGUAACUAACAAGACAGAAUAAGAGCAAUUAGAGGCACUUCAACAUGUGUACUGUCUUCUUUCCAAGAAAAAACAAAAGCCGGCACUCUAGAAUACAUGAAGUUAGACAUAUUAUCUGGAAUUUAUGCAACUAUCAAGCAGAGUAUAAUAUUGUAUUCACCUUCAA